UACGUAGGGGGCUAGCGUUGUCCGGAAUCAUUGGGCGUAAAGAGCGUGUAGGCGGCCCGGUAGGUCCGCUGUGAAAGUCGGGGGCUCAACCCUCGAAUGCCGGUGGAUACUGUCGGGCUAGAGUGCGGAAGAGGCGAGUGGAAUUCCUGGUGUAGCGGUGAAAUGCGCAGAUAUCAGGAGGAACACCAAUUGCGAAGGCAGCUCGCUGGGACGUAACUGACGCUGAGACGCGAAAGCGUGGGUAGCAAACAGG
rnacentral:rRNA from 1 species